rnacentral:rRNA from 1 species
AGUGAACGCUGGCGGUAGGCCUAACACAUGCAAGUCGAACGGCAGCACAGUAAGAGCUUGCUCUUACGGGUGGCGAGUGGCGGACGGGUGAGGAAUACAUCGGAAUCUACUUUUUCGUGGGGGAUAACGUAGGGAAACUUACGCUAAUACCGCAUACGACCUACGGGUGAAAGCAGGGGAUCUUCGGACCUUGCGCGAUUGAAUGAGCCGAUGUCGGAUUAGCUAGUUGGCGGGGUAAAGGCCCACCAAGGCGACGAUCCGUAGCUGGUCUGAGAGGAUGAUCGGCCACACUGGAACUGGGACACGGUCCAUACUCCUAAGAGAGGCAGCAGUGGGGAAUAUUGGACAAUGGGCGCAAGCCUGGUCCAGCCAUACCGCGUGGGAGAAGGAGGCCUUCGGGUUGUAAAGCCCUUUUGUUGGGAAAGAAAAGCAGCAGGUUAAGACCCCGCUGUUCUGACGGUACCCAAAGAAUAAGCACCGGCUAACUUCGUG